AUUGAACGCUGGCGGCAGGCUUAACACAUGCAAGUCGAGCGGAGAUGAGGUGCUUGCACCUUAUCUUAGCGGCGGACGGGUGAGUAAUGCUUAGGAAUCUGCCUAUUAGUGGGGGACAACAUUCCGAAAGGAAUGCUAAUACCGCAUACGUCCUACGGGAGAAAGCAGGGGAUCUUCGGACCUUGCGCUAAUAGAUGAGCCUAAGUCGGAUUAGCUAGUUGGUGGGGUAAAGGCCUACCAAGGCGACGAUCUGUAGCGGGUCUGAGAGGAUGAUCCGCCACACUGGGACUGAGACACGGCCCAGACUCCUACGGGAGGCAGCAGUGGGGAAUAUUGGACAAUGGGGGAAACCCUGAUCCAGCCAUGCCGCGUGUGUGAAGAAGGCCUUAUGGUUGUAAAGCACUUUAAGCGAGGAGGAGGCUACUGAGACUAAUACUCUUGGAUAGUGGACGUUACUCGCAGAAUAAGCACCGGCUAACUCUGUGCCAGCCGCCGCGGUAAAAC
rnacentral:rRNA from 1 species